rnacentral:rRNA from 1 species
CAGCAGCCGCGGUAAUUCCGGCGGCCCGAGUGGCGGCCACUAUUAUUGGGCUUAAAGCGUCCGUAGCCGGGUUGGUUAGUCUCCCGGGAAAUCUGGCCGCUUAACGGUCAGAAUUCCGGGAGAUACUGCCAGCCUAGGGACCGGGAGAGGCCGAGGGUAUUCCCGGAGUAGGGGUGAAAUCCUAUAAUCCCGGGAGGACCACCUGUGGCGAAGGCGCUCGGCUGGAACGGGUCCGACGGUGAGGGACGAAGGCCAGGGGAGCAAACCGGAUUAGAUACCCGGGUAGUCCUGGCUGUAAACGAUGCGGACUUUGUGUCGGACAAGCUAUGAGCUUGUCCGGUGCCGGAGGGAAACCGUUAAGUCCGCCGCCUGGGGAGUACGGCCGCAAGGCUGAAACUUAAAGGAAUUGGCGGG